rnacentral:lncRNA from 1 species
GCCACUGGUUUCAAGAGAAGGUCACUUUUGACAGCGAUCGUUUGGACAUUUGUAAUUGUGCAUAGUAUAUUAAUAAAGGCAACAAAAGGCUUUUUAAUGAAAAUGGCAGUGCAAAUCAUUACUAUUUUUAUUUAUUUAUUUAUUAUGGGUAGAGCUAAACCAAUUUCUAGAUAAAUAAUAGGAUUAGGAGCUAUAUGUAUAGUCCAUAUGUUUUUGGUCUGAAAGUUUCAAUUUAAACAAUUAGAAUGCUAUAGUUUCAAUUUGGUUUUGAAGUAAUCCUUCCAUCACUAAACGUUAAGUAUUUGUACGAUCUUGUGCUUUUUUUUUCCUGUCUAAAUUGUUAACGAGUAUUGAUGAAAGAACUACAUUGAACCAAAUUGAAAUUAUGAGGUUCUAAUUGUUCAAAUUAAAAUUAAAGGGACCAAAGUAAAACUUUGGUUAAACUACGGGAUAAUUAAGCUAAACAACGCUGCAAUUUGUCUCCAAUUUCACGUAGUCCCUAUGUUUCCAAUUAUGACUCUUAAAUUCUCAUAUUUUUGCUUUUGUUUUCUCCAUAAAAAUCCAAGAUUUAAACCCAGUAUUGACUUUUCCUAUGAGUUAGUUUGGUAAUCUUGGUAGUCUAAAACUGCGACUUCAAGGUCGCCUCUCAGAUUCAGAACUUCAGAAACUUCCU